AUUGAACGCUGGCGGCAGGCCUAACACAUGCAAGUCGAGCGAGCGUCGGACGGGUGAGUAAUGUAUGGGGACUGCCCGAUAGAGUGGGAUAACUCCUGGAAACGGUGGCUAAUACCGCAUACUGUCUGCUAACCCCUAUGGGAUUAGCUCGUAGGUAAGGUAAUGGCUUACCUAGGAGACGAUCCCUAGCUGGUCUGAGAGGAUGAGCAGCCACACUGGGACUGAGACACGGCCCAGACUCCUACGGAGGCAGCAGUGGGGAAUAUUGCACAAUGGGCGCAAGCCUGAUGCAGCCAUGCCGCGUGUAUGAAGAAGGCCCUGGGGUUGUAAAGUACUUUCAGUCGGGAGGCGUUACCGACAGAAGAAGCACCGGCUAACUCCGUGCCAGCAGCCGCGGUAAUAC
rnacentral:rRNA from 1 species